AGUGAACGCUGGCGGUAGGCCCAACACAUGCAAGUCGAACGGCAGCACAGUAAGAGCUUGCUCUUACGGGUGGCGAGUGGCGGACGGGUGAGGAAUACAUCGGAAUCUACUUUUUCGUGGGGGAUAACGUAGGGAAACUUACGCUAAUACCGCAUACGACCUACGGGUGAAAGCAGGGGAUCUUCGGACCUUGCGCGAUUGAAUGAGCCGAUGUCGGAUUAGCUAGUUGGCGGGGUAAAGGCCCACCAAGGCGACGAUCCGUAGCUGGUCUGAGAGGAUGAUCAGCCACACUGGAACUGAGACACGGUCCAGACUCCUACGGGAGGCAGCAGUGGGGAAUAUUGGACAAUGGGCGCAAGCCUGAUCCAGCCAUACCGCGUGGGUGAAGAAGGCCUUCGGGUUGUAAAGCCCUUUUGCUGGGAAAGAAAAGCAGCAGGUUAAUACCCCGCUGUUCUGACGGUACCCAAAGAAUAAGCACCGGCUAACUUCGUG
rnacentral:rRNA from 1 species